GCAUAUCAAUAAGCGGAGGAAAAAAAAACCAACAGGGAUUGCCCUAGUAACGGCGAGUGAAGCGGCAACAGCUCAAAUUUGAAAUCUGGCGUCUUCGGCGUCCGAGUUGUAAUUUGCAGAGGGCGCUUUGGCAUUGGCAGCGGUCCAAGUUCCUUGGAACAGGACGUCACAGAGGGUGAGAAUCCCGUACGUGGUCGCUAGCCUUUACCGUGUAAAGCCCCUUCGACGAGUCGAGUUGUUUGGGAAUGCAGCUCUAAAUGGGAGGUAAAUUUCUUCUAAAGCUAAAUACUGGCCAGAGACCGAUAGCGCACAAGUAGAGUGAUCGAAAGAUGAAAAGCACUUUGGAAAGAGAGUUAAAAAGCACGUGAAAUUGUUGAAAGGGAAGCGCUUGCAGCCAGACUUGCCUGUAGUUGCUCAUCCGGGUUUCUACCCGGUGCACUCUUCUAUAGGCAGGCCAGCAUCAGUUUGGGCGGUUGGAUAAAGGUCUCUGUCAUGUACCUCUCUUCGGGGAGAACUUAUAGGGGAGACGACAUGCAACCAGCCUGGACUGAGGUCCGCGCAUCUGCUAGGAUGCUGGCGUAAUGGCUGUAAGCGGCCCGUCUUGAAACACGGACCAAGGAGUCUAACAUCUAUGCGAGUGUUUGGGUGUCAAGCCCGAGCGCGUAAUGAAAGUGAACGGAGGUGGGAACCUUUCGGGGUGCACCAUCGACCGAUCCUGAUGUCUUCGGAUGGAUUUGAGUAAGAGCAUAGCUGUUGGGACCCGAAAGAUGGUGAACUAUGCUUGAAUAGGGUGAAGCCAGAGGAAACUCUGGUGGAGGCUCGCAGCGGUUCUGACGUGCAAAUCGAUCGUCAAAUUUGGGCAUAGGGGCGAAAGACUAAUCGAACUAUCUAGUAGCUGGUUCCUGCCGAAGUU
rnacentral:rRNA from 1 species